rnacentral:misc_RNA from 1 species
CCCUUCACGCCUAAAGCUUCGAGUUUGAAAAGAAAGACUGGCUGUCGAGCCAAUGGCACACUUCUGCUAUCCUUUUCAUGGAGUACGCUGACACUCCUCUCUUCAGCGGAAGGUCUUGGCGCAGUGCGCUCUUGUCUGUGCUUGUCGUCUUCGUCACUGCCGUGUAGCUGUGCAACAUCUUUGGUGCGAGGAAAAACCUAUCAGCUGCCUGUAUUCGGCGUUCAUAGAGACAGGUGCAGAUUUAGGACGGGGUCUGCCAUUCAUCUGUGCGGAGAACGUCAUCUAUUUCACACACACACACACACGCAUCAUCCCCCUUGCAACGCGCAUCCUGUCUUUGGGGUGGUUUGUUUUCGCUCUUUUUUCCCCCGAGUCCAACGAUCACGCUGGCGAACAUCGACACAGGCGCCGUUGCAGUACGGCGCUGGCCCAAAGGCAGACGCCUACCGAUUUCUUGUCCAGCCCGUCAAACGUGAGCAGUCCUAUGCAACCCUCGACGCGUGAGGCAGGUGCUGCAGCGUCCAGCGUCGGCAGAAAUGGCACGAUGCGAGAGUACUUCAAGUCGAGAGAGGUGUAUCGGGGCUCGCAAGGCAUCAUUCUGGUUGAUGCCUUCCGUUUCGUGUAUCAUGGGGCACCGCUCACCAACUGGGCGUGUCGAGCACAGCGCCCCUCGCCCCCCUCCGCUAACGGAGCGGCACCGUCAGGGACGCCGUACUCUGCCACUUCGCCGGUGUCCAAUCAAGGUCUUGGACUGGCGUCCACGUCGAGAGCGGCCCGGGCGCACACCUUCUACUUUCUGAGUCACUUCCACUCCGACCAUUACGCGGGCAUCACCAAUCGCUGGCACAGCGGCACCAUCUACUGCAGUCGCCCAACGGCCACACUUACCCAGUCGCAACUCGGGGUGCCUGCGUCGUGGUUGUUUCCCAUGGACCUGGGUCAGACAUACAUCUUCUCCUUGUCUACCGGCGUGUGUCUCGCGCGUGUGCCCGAAACGCCGCACCACCCACACGUGCAGGCCCUGCUGAGUCCACCGGCAGCAUCCUCGAAAGGGCAGGCACAAGAAAAGACUGUCGACGGUAUGUUUGUGGUGCGCCUGAUUCCGGCGAACCACUGCCCAGGUGCGGUGAUGUUUCUCUUCGUGUCACCAGUUUUUGGGACCGUGCUACACACGGGCGACUUUCGCUUCAACGGCUCGCGGGAGACCUGGGAGCAGUUCGUGCGGUCCUCCAACGGGAGGCAGACGUACGUGCCGCCGUUGCCGUGCCUGAUAAAACGAGGAGAGCAGCAGCAUGCAUCGACAGCGGCGCCGCCCGCUCCGGCUUAUGAGCAGUUCAUCGCGGAUGACGAGGCGCUGCGGGACGUGGCGCAGCGGCAGCUCCUCGAUGUCCUUCUCCUAGACAACACCUUCUGUGCGCCAGCGUACAAGUUUCCCUCUCAAUGGGAGGUGACGCAGAGGGUGAUCGAGGUACUUCGGUCCCUCUUCCACCGCGCCGCAUGCCGCGCAGGAGUCGCGGUGCAUUCGGCCGGGCAUCCGCAGCAUCGACAAGUGCGUUGCGCUGUCUUGAUUGGGUGCUACACAAUCGGGAAGGAGCGUGUCGCAUUGGCGCUGAGGGACGCCUUCCCUCUUGUAAGGUCAUCUGAGCAGAGCCGCGCAAGAGACUCCCUAAAAGGGUCUCAGCAUCACGCCAACGCCGCAGAGCCUGCAUCGUGGCGGAUUCAUGUCUCGCCAAGUCGGUACGCCCUGCUGUCCUCAAUAGGGUUCUUCGAAGAGUGCUUUGAGCCGCUGAAGGCAUCCCGCUCGAGCGAGAACGCCGUGACCGCGCGCGACGCGGGCAAAGAUGCCUCGACAAGGCCACCGACAGAGACGGCUCACGUCGAAGACGUGCCAGUUCUGCUGCCGGUGCUGCUUGGUGAGUGCAAUGCACAGGGCGCGCAACGCAAGAGGGUCGCCAGCGGCCUAGCCUGUAAGCCGGAGGAGACCCGUGCCAGCGCCGCUCCCGCCGUGCGACCGUCAUUGGCGGUCGGCCUCGACAUGGCGGACGGCGCAGGAAACCAGUCCGCUGCCGAGGGACGCACGGAGGAGGUGGAGCACCUUCUCAGUGUCUUUCUGGUUCCCAUGGCCAGCGUAGGCUACCAAGCAGUGGCUGCGCUGGCGCACGCCGACAGCCCGGCGGUGGUGGACAUCGAAGACGGGCUGGCGCUUAACCUGGACCGCUACGAUCAGGUGCUCAUCGUGGAGCCGACGGGGUGGUGCAAGCGCUGCGUGGCGCGAGAGGUGUCGGAGAAACACACUCUUCUCCGUGUGCCAUACAGCGAGCACUGCGCCUUUCACGAGCUCCUCGAGUUUGUCGAGUUCGUGAACCCGGCGCGCGUGGUUCCGACCGUGUCAGAGGAGGGCUUCAAGCAGUACGAGGCACUCUUUGUGGCGAAAGCGCCACGCCUCCGCAGUCGCGUGUCGAAUGUUCAGCCCAUCACACGGUUCUUCUCGGUGCUACCGGUGCAUCACGCGGAGGCGCCGACUGGCGAAAGGAGGGACGAUACGGCAGCCACUGUGGCCUCCUCAGCUGCGCGUACGGUGCUUGAUGGAUCCUCAGUGUCCUUGGCAGGAGCGAUCCCAGUUGAAGAUCCUUCUGUGGAUGAUGCCCAAACGGCGUCAACCGCCUCAGCAGUGGUGCGGAAAAGAGCGCGUGCGCAACGGCACGCCGUGACGGUUGCUGCGCCGACAUCGACAGCAACGGCGGUUGCCGCCACGCCGAGCAUCACGUGCACUCUCGAGCGCCUUUUUCAGAAGGUCAAGCGAGACGCAGCGCACAGAUCGCCAGAGAGACAGCCUCUGGAAGAGGUGGUGGCGGGCGAUGAUGAUGACUGCCAAGUGGUGGGCGUGGUGCAGGCGGUGGUGGAAAUCAGCGAUGACGACUGACGAAGUGGCCAUGCGGCACCGUUACCGCUUGCCCGACGUCGCGUUGCUGAGAAAGAUUGCCCCUUGAUCUUCCAUUGCCCUGUCGUACUCCCUCCUCCCCCCCCCCCUCUGCUGAACCACUGCCUGCUCAUCUGUAGUCGGUGUAUCUGCGCCAGCACCCACAUACACACACCAUCGCCUCAUCGCCUCACAGGUGCGCAGUGUAGCCUUAGCGGAACAAGAACACAAGCGCGCGGGCGCUCCUCUUAUUCCUUGCACGUGUGUCAGUGUGCGUGCAACUGGCAACAGCUCUUUCUCUCUAUUAAGCUGUCCACACGUCCCUAGACCAACACGGAAAAGGUGUAGCUGCUAUUUUCACGGAUUCGUAUGGCGAAGUCCGUCGCGUAUUUAAUAGCUCCCGACGCUUGCGCACAACCCCCCAUCCCUGGUCUGAGCUUCUCUUCCUGCUCGGUGCUUUCCCUCACUCCCCGCAUCGUCGAUGUGACACACGCACCCUCCAUCCUACAUGCACGUGCGCAACAACCAAGCCCACGCCGCCUUCGUCGCAUCACCUCCGUUCUCCCCUCCCCGCUGUGUACUCGAGUUCUUUUUUUAUGCCUUGUACAUCUCUAAUCGGCGAGUCUCGCUACACAG